rnacentral:rRNA from 1 species
UACAGAGGUCGCAAGCGUUGUUCGGAUUCAUUGGGCGUAAAGGGUGCGUAGGUGGUGAUGCACGUCUGGUGUGAAAUCUCGGAGCUCAACUCCGAAAUUGCACCGGAUACUGCGUGACUCGAGGACUGUAGAGGAGAUCGGAAUUCACGGUGUAGCAGUGAAAUGCGUAGAUAUCGUGAGGAAGACCAGUUGCGAAGGCGGAUCUCUGGGCAGUUCCUGACACUGAGGCACGAAGGCCAGGGGAGCAAACGGG